UGGGGAAUAUUGGACAAUGGGCGCAAGCCUGAUCCAGCCAUGCCGCGUGUGUGAAGAAGGCCUUUUGGUUGUAAAGCACUUUAAGCGAGGAGGAGGCUACUUGGAUUAAUACUCUAGGAUAGUGGACGUUACUCGCAGAAUAAGCACCGGCUAACUCUGUGCCAGCAGCCGCGGUAAUACAGAGGGUGCGAGCGUUAAUCGGAUUUACUGGGCGUAAAGCGUGCGUAGGCGGCUUCUUAAGUCGGAUGUGAAAUCCCUGAGCUUAACUUAGGAAUUGCAUUCGAUACUGGGAAGCUAGAGUAUGGGAGAGGAUGGUAGAAUUCCAGGUGUAGCAGUGAAAUGCGUAGAGAUCUGGAGGAAUACCGAUGGCGAAGACGGCCAUCUGGCCUAAUACUGACGCUGGGGUACGAUAGCAUGGGGAGCAAACAGG
rnacentral:rRNA from 1 species